AGGAGAACCACCGUGCCGCUUAGAUCACACCGCCUCCGGACCAUUUGUGCAACAUCUGCAGUCAUCAAUCCAUAUUAAACCAUUCUUUUAUGUCGUUUUCACCACACCUCCCUCUCUCAUUAAAUCGGACUCAUCAUUCUCCAAAUACCAAUUGAAGUUUCACUUAUAAAUUUGUUUGUCGCCUGCAAUGAGCAUCCUCACCACUAAGAAAUCAGAAAGGACAACCUCUUUCAAGCACCAACUCCAACAAUAGUGAAUUUGUACAUCCUUCUUACGUCUUUGGCGUCCUAGGCUGAUGAUUCUCAGAAGAAAAAUCGGAUUCAGGUUUCUAACAUUAUGAAACCAUUGUUCUUCUACGUCAAUCUCGCCAAGAGGUAUAUACAACAGUACGAUGAUGUUGAGCUGUCUGUCCUUGGGAUGGGUAUGCAUGUUCUUAAUCUCUCUCUCUCCUAUACUUUCUUCUGUGUAUUUAGACUGUAAUAGUCUUUCUUCUGAUUGGAUAUUCAGUAUGAAAAUGCGUACCUAUUGUAAAUGUUGUUACUAUUGCAUAAAUAAUGAAGAACAAUGGUUUUCUGUUGAGAAGAGUAACUAUCUCUACAAGGUCUGAAUGCAACAUAUAAUAAAUUUGACGUUUUGGCAACUAAGCUCUGUUUGGGUGAAAAUGGUUUGUUCCAGUUAUAUCGAUCAUGACUUCAACGGUGGAUAUUAAGUAUGACUUAAGAGGUCACCAUGUGCCGAAAGCUAAGAUUGUAUUUGACCAUAAAACCUGAAUUUGGAUGUCGAAUCAACACAGCAAAAGUUGCAAUAAUUUGAAUAUCAAAGAACCCGCUUCAUUUUCUUUUGUGGAGUUCGUAAGUGUCAUGAAAAAACAUCUUCAAACAAAGAGGCAUUGAUAAAAAAAAGAUUCCAAUCUUUUUUUGUGGGUAUCGCUUAAACCAGCUAUAGGUAUAUCUAAGAAAAUUGAGUAUGUGAACUAAUUGAGCUCUGUUGUAUUAUUUUUGUUUGACUCCAGUGUCGUUAAUGAUCCAAGUAUUGUUACUGUGUAAAUUUAAGUGAUACCAAUAUACCAUAUAGACAAAUGUUUUUCCUUCA